rnacentral:misc_RNA from 1 species
GGAUGAUGAACUGACCGGUCAUGUCAGUGACUUUGGACUUGCAAAAUUACUUCUAAAGGAUUUCAAUGGUUCGACCACUUAUUCAAGUUCUGUUGGAUUAAGAGGUACCAUUGGGUAUGCUCCUCCAGAAUAUGGACUAGGAGGUGAGGCGUCAGCAUAUGGUGAUAUCUAUAGUUAUGGCAUUUUGUUGUUGGAGAUGUUCACAGGGAAGAGGCCCACUAAUGACAUGUUCAAAGAGGAUCUGAACCUUCACAAAUUAGCUAAGUCAGCAUUGCCAGAUGGAGUGGCUGAGAUUUUAGACCCAAUAAUCCUAGAAAGAGGUGAAAUAGAAAGAAGCAUAAAUAAUACUCGUGAUCCAAUGGGCAUAAGAACAAACAGAAUUAUGGAAUGUUUGAUUUCAAUCGUUGGCAUUGGAGUGGCUUGUUCUGUUGAAUUGCCACUGGAACGGAUGAACAUCAGUGAUGUAGCCCCAAAGCUAUGUUCUAUCAGAAACAAGCUUCUUAGAAACUGAGUCACAGAGGGGUAAACGCUUAAUGGCUUGUCCUGAGGCUGCUAUUUGGUCAUCAACCUACACAGAUUUCAGUUUGUCCUAUCUAAUUGCAUUUGUACAAUAAAAGUGUGGUAGAAUCUUCUGUUCUCAAGCUAUGUUAUGCCUUGAAAAUUGAUAUAAGUGCCGUAUUUUGCUAAUUACGGAUAUAUACU